GUGGCGCUACCACUCCUACCAGUAUUCUAUAGCUCUGAAGCUGUUGUGAGAUUUUACCUUUUCCAGACCUGGCAACUCAGCAUACGUAAUAUAUUGCAGACGAAACUGUAAAGUCCUCGACUCUAAUCUUAGUCGUGUGACAAUAGAUUUUGAACACAGUUUACAUCUGUUACGUUUCUUGAAAGUCAAUUAUUCAAGUACUCAUAAACUUCUCAUGGUUGGAAGAGGACGAGGGAGAGGAAAUGCGGUUUCCUUCAACAUUGAGCAAUUGGGAUUGGUAGAGGUGAAGCAGGUCCAGUUUCUGUUACUCAACCUCCUCCACUAUUCCCCUCUCUAAAAACAGGACUCUUCCAUUAAUUAAAGAUGUGGAGUAUGAGUAUAUACUGGUUACCCAAAAAGAUUUGAACACAAGAAUGAGGAGCUCACCGUUUCACUUGAAUACAACAAAUGAGAUCAAAGAAAUUCAGCAAUACUCCAAAAAAAUCAAGCAAAUAUUUUGAAAAAGAGCUACCUGUUCUCUGGAAUUGAAUGCCUUCUAAACUUAAGAUAUUAGUCAAUAAGAGGUUAACACUUAACAACUGGCAAGUCAAAUGUCACUCUGAAUGCUAAAAGGAAGAAACUUGAAGACCCUGAUAAAAUUUUUGCCAAGCUUGAAAAGAAAGAAACAAAUGAAAGUGAAGGAGAAGGGGUUGGAGAUGGAAAAGAAGAUGAAGACGAUCAAGAUAAAUCAGAUGAUGAGAAAGUGGAAAUUGAAGAUGAUGUUGAGGAAGAAAUAGAUGAAGAAAUGGAUGAAGGAACA